UACGGGGGGGGUAAGCGUUGUUCGGAAUUACUGGGCGUAAAGGGCUCGUAGGCGGCCAACUAAGUCAGACGUGAAAUCCCUCAGCUUAACUGGGGAACUGCGUCUGAUACUGGAUGGCUUGGAUCCGGGAGAGGGAUGCGGAAUUCCAGGUGUAGCGGUGAAAUGCGUAGAUAUCAGGAGGAAUACCGAUGGCGAAGGCAGGUCUCUGGGCCAAUACUGACGCUCAUGCACGAAAGCGUGGGGAGCAAACAGG
rnacentral:rRNA from 1 species